rnacentral:rRNA from 1 species
GAACAGAAAAUCCUCCGAACGAUUAUAAUAACAUAGACCAACAAGUCAAAGUAAUCCAUUUUCCAAUUGACCCAAAACUAUUUGAUCAACGGACCAAGUUACCCUAGGGAUAACAGCGCAAUCCUAUUUAAGAGUUCAUAUCGACAAUAGGGUUUACGACCUCGAUGUUGGAUCAGGACAUCCCAAUGGUGCAGAAGCUAUUAAUGGUUCGUUUGUUCAACGAUUAAAGUCCUACGUGAUCUGAGUUCAGACCGGAGAA